GCCUCCACUGAGACUGCUGAAUGGCACUUGUACAUGUAAAUGGGGAUAAGAUGACACUGAGAGAGGGAAAAGAUGCUGGUGCAGCACUGGGAUGGGAGCCUGGCCUGACAUCAGCCCCCAGGCAGCCAUGCUGGGCCGGCACCUAGAACAGUGACAAAUGCAACACAACUGCACCAGGUUCUACCCCUGACAGCAUGUGGUCGGGAACCGGGCAGGUGGAGGUUGCCAGGGUGGCUUCCUGGAGGAGGUGAGAGUAGUUCUCUGGCCAGCUGGAUGAGAAAAGAGGAGAGGGCCCUUGAGGCUGGGCAGCCAACCUGCAGAGGCUCGGAGGAAGGAAUGAGCAUACAGGUACUUGCCUUUCCUUCAAAUCUGAAUUUUAGCCAAUUGUCUUCGACAGAGAGUCACCAAACGUGGUUCACGGAAUCCUCCCCUUCCAGAUGCUGGGUCCCUGCCCUCCUGCCGCCGUGGUGGCAUCCUCACCAGGACCACUGUGAUUGUCCCUGAGCAGCCCUUCCGCUUUCGUCCCCUCCCCUGACAACCUCCCCAGAGCUAAAAGUACAAAUCUGCCUUCACUUAAACCAUUUCUGGGGUUUCGUUGGCUUCAGGCUGAAGAGGAACUUCCCCAGCUUGGUUCCCCAGAUCUGUCGUGGGCUGGCUGCUGCUGGGCACGGUCACCCGGUCUUUUCCUAGGCUCCCUUAGACCUGUUGCUGUGGCUUCUCUGGAGGGGACCUGCUCCUGCGGCUUCUCUUGGAAUGGACUGUGCUGCUUCUUCCUUCUACCACUCAUCCCUUUGCUCAGAUGCUGCUCUCCUGCUGUUUGUCCAGCCCCCUCUCCCCUGCACACAGGAUUCCUGUGCUCCCCGCCCUUCCCAUGGGUGCAAAUCCCUGCUUUCCUGUGCUUCUUCCUCACUGAUGGGAAGCUAAGGGCAGGGUCAUCUCUCACGUGAUGUUGCUUCCUGUGUUGAGGACUGCAUCUGACUCACUACAGGUUUGGAGAAGAGCAUCGUCCUGGCUUGGGGGCCUCCCUGGUGAUAACAACAUGGUGCCCACCAUGAGGGCAAGAAAGAGUUCCUGGGAGCAGGAGGGCUACAAGCCAAAGAUGAGUGUAUCAUGUCUGGUCAUCCACACUCUCACUUUUCAAAGGCCAGUCUACGUUUGGAACUAGGAAUUCAUUAUGUUUUCUAAGAAAUAGGCAUCAGGAAGAAAGGCACUGCUUGAGAUAUGAGCCUGCGUGAAAUCUCCACUCUUCCAGGAUGUUCAAUGAGGGGUCUGUUAGCUGCAAGAGUCAGGCCAGGAACCCCCUGCUCACCCUGACUGGUGAUAAGCUGCCUCCAGGUCUCUCACAGUUGUGUGGAACUGUGACAGGGAGCAAGUGGCCACUCCAGUCACUGUAUCUCUUAAGUAUGGCUGAGCCUGGAAAAGCAUUCAUUGUAGUUCCAUUUCUGUGAUUUUCCUCUGUGCUUGGAGGGGUUAUAAUUGCACAACAUUCUUGGAGGUCAUCUUUCCUUUCUUGUAAAAGAAAAAAUAAACACUGGCUUGUUUAAGGCUUGGCAAUUGGAUUUAUAUUUACAAAGCUUGUGACCCAAUCAUGGCGUGAGAAAGAUGGCCUUGCGAUAUUUCUUUUCUUCUUGCACAAGCUUAAGGAAGGCCAUGAGUCAAACCCUGCAAGAUGAUGGUGGGAGGUG